CAGCUGUCUAAGCUAAAGUCCUAAUUAACCUUAAUUGGAUGCUCGGCUGCUUUCCAACUUAAGCUGCUGCUGCUGCUGCAUACACAUGUACUCUGCUUUAAACUCCUGAUUUUGCCGCGCUGGUGACUACUUUUGUUUGGUUCCACGGGGACAGACCUGCCCUCGCUUUGCCACCAGGAUCGCAUCUUAUGCAACGCUUCCUUGGAAUGUGGAUUGUUGCUUCCGUUCUGCCAAGCAUGGGCAAGGGACAAGGAGCAAAGCAGGACACAGAAGCCUUCCCAACAAUCACUGCCACUCCUGGUCAGCAGCACACCCACCCAGCACAGCUUCUGCCGACUUUCAAGCUUAUUUGAGAAUCCAUAAGGUGCUCAACAGUAAAAUACUGUUUAUCCAUU